rnacentral:rRNA from 1 species
GGGCCCGCACAAGCGGAGGAACAUGUGGUUUAAUUCGAUGAUACGCGAGGAACCUUACCCGGGCUUGAAUUGCGCAGGAAUAAUUUGGAAACAGAUUCGUCUUCGGACCUGCGUGAAGGUGCUGCAUGGUUGUCGUCAGCUCGUGCCGUGAGGUGUCGGCUUAAGUGCCAUAACGAGCGCAACCCUAAUUUCUAGUUACUAACAGGUCAUGCUGAGGACUCUAGUAAGACUGCCGUCGUAAGAUGUGAGGAAGGUUGGGAUGACGUCAAAUCAGCACGGCCCUUACGUCCGGGGCUACACACGUGUUACAAUGGGGAGUACAGCGGGCAGCUACGGGGUGACCCUUCGCUAAUCCAUUAAACUCCUCUCAGUUCGGAUCGAAGUCUGCAACCCGACUUCGUGAAGCUGGAUUCGCUAGUAAUCGCGCAUCAGCCACGGCG